UGGGGGAUAUUGCACAAUGGGGGGAACCCUGAUGCAGCGACGCCGCGUGGGCGAUGGAGCGCCUCGGCGCGUAAAGCCCUUUCGGCGGGGAAGAGAGAGGACGGUACCCGACGAAGAAGCACCGGCUAAAUACGUGCCAGCAGCCGCGGUAAUACGUAUGGUGCGAGCGUUGUCCGGAUUCACUGGGUGUAAAGGGGGCGCAGGCGGCCGGCCAAGUCCGGUGUGAAAGCCCGGGGCUCAACCCCGGGACUGCACUGGAAACUGGGCGGCUCGAGUUCCGGAGAGGCAGGCGGAAUUCCUAGUGUAGCGGUGAAAUGCGUAGAUAUUAGGAGGAACACCAGUGGCGAAGGCGGCCUGCUGGACGGACACUGACGCUGAGGCCCGAAAGCGUGGGGAGCGAACAGG
rnacentral:rRNA from 1 species